CUUUCUCCCUACCUUAUUCUACCUCCAUUGUAGAAUAGCAAUAUAGCAUCCCUCUCCUGCCCCAUGACCUAGCUAGUUGAACUUCACCCCUCCACAACCAUGCUCUCCCUCUCCUUUGACCACACCAGAAGCCAAUUCUUGGCAUGGAGAUGUCAAAGGCCCAAGCUUCAAAGAGACCAAGGUUUUUCUUCUUUUUCUUCUUCUUCCUACAACCUUGGAAAAAGCUUGGUUGAUUGGAGGUUGGAUAGAAAGCUCAAGGGUGGAGUGGCUUAAUCUCUACAACUAAUUAGUGAUGCGGCCUUGCAUGUCCACUGGGUCUUGAAGAAUAUGUGUGCAACCAUUUGUCCAUGUUCCAGGCUCAUCGCACUGGGUUCAGAGUGUGACAGAGACCUUUUAAUACUAUUUAUAGGCAUCUCUUUCCCUAAUUCAGUAGCUUGAUUUAUAUUCUCCAUCAAAUUUAAAGAGCUACAUUUAAAUUCGUAAGCAGCCUUCAUGUUGUUUUCAAAUUUUCAGUGUUGUUCAUGUCAAGUUUGAUA